UAUAGAGUUAGGAGGAAGAAAAGAAGAAAAAAAAAAAAGAACCUUACUUGCAAGGUUUUUGAGCAAAUGGGUUCUCUGAUGGCAGGAUGGGACUCUCGAGUCCAAGAUUCAAAGUCAGUGGCAUACAAAAGGAAUCGGUCAUCUACUAGAGGAGAGAUUGAUGCUUACUGGAGAGCAAAGAAGAAAGCUGAGGAAGAACAUCUCAGAGACAUUUGUAUUCCCUUAUCUGAUAGCAUUCAGGAAAUCAAGUUUGAGGAAUCUGGGAAAAAGUUGGAGAGGUCGAAAUCCGUGCCUGAGGCCAACACAAAACAGCAGGGUUUCAUGGACAUGGAAACUGAAAAAAGCCUGGAAAAACUGAUUAUGAAAAAGGCGUGGUGGACUAGAAGCAACUGGGCAUUUCUGAACGAGCCACCAGCUUCUGAGGCUGCUUCUAACAGUUACACUUCGCAGUUCCACAUUGCUAGCUCCUCGAAAUCAAACGCCGGUGAUGGGGAUUAGCAGCACCUAAUUUUUCUCAACUCCAAGUUAGAUUAUUGUCCAUAUAUAAAUGCGUUUGUGUAUCCCUGACUUGUUGCAGUUCGAUCAUAUUCUGCUAAAGCUUUUUGAAGAGAGAUGUUGCUUUGAAAAUGGAUGGAAGUGUGUAUAUAUGAAAGGGGUCACUAUUCUUCCAUGUCGGAGUCCAUGACACUCUCCAACACCUGCUGCAUUUCCAAUGACAGCUACACCACCAUGUCGUUCGCUUGAACACAAUCUCAUCGAACAGCUGCAAUGUCCUUCUCGAGCCUGAGCUGGUUGGCAUCCAAUUUUGCAGUAAUGGCGUCUAUCUUCUGAGAGAGUAAGGUCAGUUGCUCCAGAACUUGAGAUGUGGGCAUUGUCGGCUCGGGAGGAGAGGAGGUGGACUCUGUAGUGUGUGGCCUUUUCUUGGAUAGCUGGGCUUCAGAUUUAACCACUGUAAAUGUUGAAAUAGAACCUGCCAGCUUUAUGGUUGACUUAUUCUCCUGAAGUGGGACGUUAGCCUUGAGAGCCAAUUUGGUUAUCAAACCACCAAAUUUUAAAUUUAGCUCCUUGUCAACAUGGGAACGGUGUAUUAUGUCUACAACAUGUCUUGGAAAAUCAAUAGAAACACCAGUAGCCUAGUCAUAAAAUAGGCACGCUCUA